rnacentral:rRNA from 1 species
AUCCCUACGGGAGGCAGCAGUGAGGAAUAUUGGUCAAUGGGCGGGAGCCUGAACCAGCCAAGCCGCGUGAAGGAAGAAGGCGCCAGGCGUCGUAAACUUCUUUUGUCGGGGAACAAAGGGCGCCACGCGCGGCGUUGUGAGUGUACCCGAAGAAAAAGCAUCGGCUAACUCCGUGCCAGCAGCCGCGGUAAUACGGAGGAUGCGAGCGUUAUCCGGAUUUAUUGGGUUUAAAGGGUGCGUAGGCGGUCCGGAAAGUCAGCGGUAAAAGCCCGGGGCUCAACUCCGGGACUGCUUUUGAAACUGUU